GUGCCGCAGUCAGUUCCCUACCUCGCCGCCAGCCUCCGCCCGCCCGAUUGCCGCCUCGCUGCCUCGCCGCCCGCCUUCUCCGCCUGGCGCCUCCCGGCUCCCGCCGCCGCCCGCCCUUUGCGAUCCCCGGGACGAGGUAACGCGCCCCGGGCGGAGCCGCCAGGCCUUCCGAGCUCGCUCCAGUGGGUGUGGCUCGGCCCCCCGCGCGCCCCGCCGCGGCCCCCGGCUCCUCUCACGGCCCUAUCUCCCCAUCCCACCCCUGCCCGCAGCCCCAGGGCCCCGGCUAGUCCUGAUGUCCGAGGCGGCCGGCAAUCUCAAUAGCCUCCGCAUGGCGAACGUGGCCCUGCGAGAAGAAUUAAAUGCCCUUCGCGGGGAGAAUGCCAAUCUGGGCCUUCAGCUCGGCAGAGCCCUGGCCGAGGUCAAUUCCUUGCGGGGCAAUGUCUCGAGCUACAUGCGCUGGCCGGUCCCCGGGGUGCCCGCCCUUUCUGAGGAGAACUUUGAGUUCCCGCUCAGUGAGAUCGACGCCGCUCCCGAGGGAGAACUGCCCUUCCUGUGCUGGCCUCCCCCGCGCACCGAGCCCGAGUGUGCCCCGGACGAGCUGUUGAUUAGCGUGAUCCAGGAUUGCAGUACUUCCGGCGCACCCACCGACCCACCCCCGAUGCCCAGUCCACCCCCGCCGGCGCUGCCCCCGUCUCCGGCCAAGGAGCUGCCCCCGCAGCCUCUUCUGCCGCCGCUGGAGCGGCCUGAGAUAGAGCCCUUCUCGGGCGACCCAGUCUACCUGGCUGAAUUCUUGAUGCAGCUAGAGACUUUCAUAGCCGACCAUGAGGAUCAUUUCCCCGGGGGCGCUGAGCGGGUGGCCUUUCUGAUCUCCUUUUUCGCUGGUGAAGCCAAGGAAUGGGCCGUCUCAGUCACCCAGGAAGGAAGCCCCCUGCAUGCCAACUUUCCGCGCUUCCUAGAUGAAAUCCGUAAGCAGUUCUGUGGCCCCAUUCCCCCAAGCGUGGCAAAAAAAGCCAUCCGCAAGCUCAAGCAGGGAGACUGUACCCUGGGCAGCUAUGCAGAUGCUUUUCAGUUCCUGGCUCAAUUCUUGUCUUGGGAUGACUGCCGCCUUCAAAACCAGUUCCUCAAAGGCUUAUCAGAGUUCUUCCGCAAGGAGCUCUUAUGGUCAACUGAAAUGGCCGACCUGGAUGAGCUGAUACUCGAGUGUGUGGAGAUAGAAAGAAAAGUGCGUGUCCCCAAGCCAAUGCCACUCCCUGGGGUUCGCAAUAUCUUCUUCCCUUUUGCAGCAGACCGUAAUCUCGAAGGUGAAGAGGGAGAAGAGUGCCACAGUGGGGAUCAAGAUGAAGAGGCACGCAAGCGCAGGAUUCUCAACAAGGACCAGCGGAGGCGCGUGAGAGCAAUCCAGCAAGAGACCAGGGGGGAGGAGGAGGAGAAGAGGAGGAAGAGGGAGGAAGAGAUGAGGAAGGAGCUGAAACAGAAAGGGGAGGAGGACGGGGAGGAGGAGGAAGAGGAGGAGGCGGAAGAAGAGGAGGAGAAAGAAGAGGAGGAAGAGGAGGGGAUGAGGAAGAAGAGGAAGAAGGAGGAGGAAGAUCAGAGUAAGGAUAAGAAAGAAGAGGAACAUGAGGGUGGCCGCCAGGAACCAGAGCAGGAGCCCGCGCAAGAGCCCGAGCAGGAACAGGAGACAGAGGAUGAGACCCAAGACGAUGACCUGGAUGAGCUGAUGGAGAUGGAGCCCACCUAUGCCAACGCUUCAUCCCAGACUUCUGGCUACUAUCAUGAAAACUUCCUAGAUGUGUCGCCUCCCAUCAUACAGCCCAGCAGACGCAGGAACCAGAAUCGACUCCCGCUUCUGGAGGGCCUUCCAGGUACCAAUUCACCAUUCUACAGUUCACCGCCGCUAAUUCGCCGCGCAGGUCGCCUGGGGCAACGCCAAAUUCGACGCCGUCCCCCAGUGCUGUUUCGCCUCACUCCGAGGCAGGGGGGCCACCGGGCUGCACGGGGCCGUAUUCGCGUGUGAGAGCUGGGGUGAGCUGCCCCCUCCCCCACAACACACCCUUCCACUGUGUUCCCUGCCCCUGCUUUCGCUGCCACACCUGCCUCAUUCACUGACCAGUACUUAAGGGAGUUACAGACCUGCAGAACCGAAAGACCUGGAGGACUCCAGACCAUCCCAUGACCUUGACUGGGGAGUGACACUCGGGAAAGGAGGGUGCAGUGAUAGGUCUCCUCUCGGUGUGCACUCUGCUCAUACCUGCCAGGAUCUAGAGAGCAGGUUUAUGGGCCUGCUCCCAUAAAUGAACUGGUCACCCUCUUGUAUUUCCCCUCUAGUUCCAAGCCCUCACCUUUCCUGUGUUAAUUCACACUGUGUUCUAUGGUUUCAUCCUCUGGCUGGCUAACCUGGACUUCACCCAAUGGCUCACUGCUCUGCCCCGGACAGGCUCCACUGAACUUCUAAAGCCACUGAAGCCACUUAGUAGGUAUAAUUGGUGGACAGCAGGAUGCUAUCAAGAAACGUACCUGGAAGCCUACACUUGCUUCAGGUCACCCCUCCAGCAGGAGGGCCCUGAAGAGGCCCCUCCAAUUAGCCCAGUGAGAGAAUGCAAAGCCACAUGUCCAGUGGAUCACCCAGCUGAGACCUGUCUUCAACUGACUGAGCAAGCUGGUUCCACCUUCCCACAGACCAUGGGCUUAGGGCCUGAGAGCUCGCCAGAUCUGGGACCCUUUCCUCUUACUUCACUGCUCUCCUGGGCAUCCCUAGUGGACACAGCCCAAUAGUCCAUGCCCUACUCCUUUCCUUGACAUUGCCUAAAGGGUAGGCAGUUAGGCCGGGGAGGAGGAGGAGGAGAAAGCAGCAGCAACGACUCAAUUUGACCCUGUAAGGAGUGACUCUUUCCUUAGGGAUGGUGGCCUCCUCCGCUGGCCAGGCCUUGGACUGCAGUCUCCAGCCACAGGUCUUGGCAGAAGAUUUGCCAUUCUUGGGGUUCCAGAGGUGGGUUAAUUGGCCUUUCCUUCCCAGAAUGCCAGAGAGAGAGGUCCAAAGCCUGCUCUUCAACUCCAAUGUGAAGGACUCCUUAGUACUGAGAGGAGAGAGGAAGGUUCUCUCUACAGAGACUGCCUCCUGCAGCUUUGCAACCGGGAUGACCUCACGUCUCUCACAUGAGGGGCAAGCCAUAGCCUGAUGCUGGGCAUUGAGCAGAUGGUGAGGUUUCAGAGGUUGACUGCCUCCUAGUAACUCCUGGGGCUUCUGGGUCCUAACCUAGGGGCCUUCACAGAGACCUGCUGCUGGCCUUGGGUCCAGAAGACACGGUUCUGCAGUGAAAAGUACAUACUAUGUCACUCUGGCCACAGAAUGGCAGCCAGAUCCACUGAUGGCCUGAACUGCCCUCCACACUGGCCUUCCUGCACAGGGCCUGGCGGCUGGGCAAGUGCAGCCAAAGUGUCUGUGGCCAGAGGGAAGAAAACAUAGUCAAUUAAACCUCUGUUCCUCACUGGAGUCUGACAGAUAACCUCAGCCCAGCCUUAGGAGUUUGAGCUCAGAGGCAAGAAAAAGGAGCAGGAGGAAGAGGAGUCACAGAAACCCAGUCCUCCGACUGGUUUCCGGUGAGGUCUCUAUUCAUCAGUGGGAGCUAUUUUCUCAGGAGAGAGUUCCAGAAGGAGGCCUGCCAUUCUUCAAAGCUGUGGACUCUUGUUUGCUGAUGGUCAAUCAACAUUCUGGCCCUGCUGCCCAUGUCCCUGUCAGAGAAGUCCAAAGGACAGGUGCCUUCCACCCACGCUUCCAGGGACCCCACAUCACAGGCCCUGCCUGUUCCCAUGGUGCUUUUCAUCCUGAGCCCAUGUAGCCUCGGCCAGGGAAAGAACAGUUGAGCAGUGAGCUGGUUUGUGGCCCUCUGGUGGCAAGGGAGCUUGGGCUCCCCUUUGACCCUCUUCCCCUCCUUUCCCAGAUCUUCAAUAUUGUGAUCUAACAGCCACAAUAGCUGUAAGAGGAACUAUGGGCUUUGGGCUAU